rnacentral:rRNA from 1 species
ACGAACGCUGGCGGCGUGGAUAAGACAUGCAAGUCGAACGAGAGAAUUGCUAGCUUGCUAAUAAUUCUCUAGUGGCGCACGGGUGAGUAACACGUGAGUAACCUGCCCCCGAGAGCGGGAUAGCCCUGGGAAACUGGGAUUAAUACCGCAUAGUAUCGAAAGAUUAAAGCAGCAAUGCGCUUGGGGAUGGGCUCGCGGCCUAUUAGUUAGUUGGUGAGGUAACGGCUCACCAAGGCGAUGACGGGUAGCCGGUCUGAGAGGAUGUCCGGCCACACUGGAACUGAGACACGGUCCAGACACCUACGGGUGGCAGCAGUCGAGAAUCAUUCACAAUGGGGGAAACCCUGAUGGUGCGACGCCGCGUGGGGGAAUGAAGGUCUUCGGAUUGUAAACCCCUGUCAUGUGGGAGCAAAUUAAAAAGAUAGUACCACAAGAGGAAGAGACGGCUAACUCUGUGCCAGCAGCCGCGGUAAUACAGAGGUCUCAAGCGUUGUUCGGAAUCACUGGGCGUAAAGCGUGCGUAGGCUGUUUCGUAAGUCGUGUGUGAAAGGCGCGGGCUCAACCCGCGGACGGCACAUGAUACUGCGAGACUAGAGUAAUGGAGGGGGAACCGGAAUUCUCGGUGUAGCAGUGAAAUGCGUAGAUAUCGAGAGGAACACUCGUGGCGAAGGCGGGUUCCUGGACAUUAACUGACGCUGAGGCACGAAGGCCAGGGGAGCGAAAGGGAUUAGAUACCCCUGUAGUCCUGGCAGUAAACGGUGCACGCUUGGUGUGCGGGGAAUCGACCCCCUGCGUGCCGGAGCUAACGCGUUAAGCGUGCCGCCUGGGGAGUACGGUCGCAAGAUUAAAACUCAAAGAAAUUGACGGGGACCCGCACAAGCGGUGGAGUAUGUGGCUUAAUUCGAUGCAACGCGAAGAACCUUACCUGGGCUUGACAUGUAAUGAACAACAUGUGAAAGCAUGCGACUCUUCGGAGGCGUUACACAGGUGCUGCAUGGCCGUCGUCAGCUCGUGUCGUGAGAUGUUUGGUUAAGUCCAGCAACGAGCGCAACCCCUGUUGCCAGUUACCAGCACGUGAAGGUGGGGACUCUGGCGAGACUGCCCAGAUCAACUGGGAGGAAGGUGGGGACGACGUCAGGUCAGUAUGGCCCUUAUGCCCAGGGCUGCACACGUACUACAAUGCCCAGUACAGAGGGGGCCGAAGCCGCGAGGCGGAGGAAAUCCUGAAAACUGGGCCCAGUUCGGACUGUAGGCUGCAACCCGCCUACACGAAGCCGGAAUCGCUAGUAAUGGCGCAUCAGCUACGGCGCCGUGAAUACGUUCCCGGGUCUUGUACACACCGCCCGUCACAUCAUGGAAGCCGGUCGCACCCGAAGUAUCUGAAGCCAACCGCAAGGAGGCAGGGUCCUAAGGUGAGACUGGUAACUGGGA